rnacentral:rRNA from 1 species
GACGGAGGGUGCUAGCGUUGUCCGGAAUUAUUGGGCGUAAAGAGCUCGUAGGCGGUCUGUCGCGUCGGCUGUGAAAUCCCGAGGCUCAACCUCGGGUCUGCAGUCGAUACGGGCAAACUAGAGUAUUGCAGGGGAGACUGGAAUUCCUGGUGUAGCGGUGAAAUGCGCAGAUAUCAGGAGGAACACCGGUGGCGAAGGCGGGUCUCUGGGCAAUAACUGACGCUGAGGAGCGAAAGCGUGGGGAGCGAACAGG